ensembl:lncRNA
GGAGACCCUUAUUCCUAGAGACCACAUGUUAAGACGGAUCACCACAUUUCCCAUGUGGGCUCUUCCACCAGUUGCUAAAACUGAUUCUUGGAUGCUUCCGUGCUUCUUGGAGAACCCAAAUAAGGACUGGGGAUGACCAAGUACAAACACCAUAGCAUUUAGAAAUGAAGAGCAAGAAGCUGACAGGAAAAUGUGUAUGCAGGAAUUGAAUGAGGUUUGGGUUACAAACUAUUUCCUUCCCUCUUUGCCAACAUGUGGCAAUUGGGUUAAAAGAGGGGGAGAAAAAGUACUGAAUGCCAGCAAAAAGAUAAAGAUCCUCCAAAAUUCAAUCUUACACACAGUCCCCGUGAUAUAUUCAUACACUGGGAGUGUCAGGAUACACUGGUUAGUCCAUGCCCUCUGAUGAAAAGUAGAGCCAAAAUGAAAAAGAAAGCUAAUGGAAAUAAAUAAGUACUUUUCAGUAAAGAUCGUCAUGUUCAGCGCUGUGAGUGGCAGAGAGCUGGCACAAACAUGGGAACCCGAUGAGGACUUCUGCCGUGUGGUCAAGGAAAAGCAGGCAGAUGCAGGCCAAGGAGAGCUGGCCAAUGAGAACACAGCCAUAGCUCACGGCCUCUCCUGGCAGCAGGCAAGAUUGAUCAGAUGCCAUUUUUCACAAAAAAAGGGCAAAGUAUUCUGGGUACCACCACCUGAAAUUUGUGCUUCGCUGGAGGAAGCGGGCUGACAGUUUCCUACAAGUUGCCCGGUUAUUGCAGGGCGAUUAUUUAUCACCAUAGUGGUCUCCAUGACUUGUGAACACGUGAGUGGGAUUUAGAAGAACUAGUCUAUGCUAUGUGCCCUUCACCUGCUUGUCCCACCUUCUGGUGCUUUGGGUGCUCGAUUUCUACAAUGAAGGUUUGGAUGUAACGAGCUCUCAGAUCCCCUUCCAGUCCCCAAGACUAUGGUCUUCAUCCUUGUGUCACAAUAUGCUUCUAUCCCUCAAUUUUGAGUCAGCUUCUAGAUAUGUUUACGUAUUCAUAUGAGUUCUAAUUUUUGACUGUUAUAUACUAAUAAAAUGCAGAUGUAGAAAGCAAUAAAACAUAUAAAUGCUAAUAUUUUCUCUCUAAACCUCCAAGUUUAUCU